AAAUCGAUUGCUUCUUUAACUAAAAACUUAAUUUUUAACCAAACUACAAUUUCAAACACUACGCUCCGACGAGCACUCUAUCAAAAUCAAAUCAAAAUCAAAAUCAAAAUCAAAUUAUAGCUCUCGCCGUCCUCCUAACCUCUCAAAUUCGAUUCAAAUUGAAAUACAAACCUAAUUCGACCCAAAUUAAUUAGCCUCUUUUAUUUGUUCGGUUCCAUUGUAACUUAAAAUUUUUUGAAUAUCAUGAUAAGAUACUUUUCUAUUUCAUUAAAAUAUAUUGCUAUUAACACAUCCACGAAAACUACUAUAUUAAAAAAAAAUUUAAAAAAAAGUAUAACAUGGCAAAUCUAAAUCAAAAGCAACACCUUUGUAAAGAGCUACUCAACUUAUGGAUGUGGCAAUUUGGAUUCGCGAGCCGUUACACGUCAAUUUUUUUUUGAAAAAAAAAUAGCGUGCUAUCUACUUUAUCCAAUAUAAAAAUAAAUUAGACUACAGAAGCGAGACAACAGGGCCUCGGAAAAAAACAACAAACGGCAAAUAAAAAGUAAAUAUCAAAAUCAAAAAUAAAAAAUAAAAAUUACAUUUUACGAAUAAUGAUACAUUAUCUGUACAAUGAUCUUCUCAAAGCUCUCUUAAAUUAUUAUUUCAAUUUUUAAAUCAUCUAAAUACUUAUAAUACAACAUUAUACUUCGUU
rnacentral:lncRNA from 1 species